rnacentral:rRNA from 1 species
AGUGAACGCUGGCGGUAGGCCUAACACAUGCAAGUCGAACGGCAGCACAGUAAGAGCUUGCUCUUACGGGUGGCGAGUGGCGGACGGGUGAGGAAUACAUCGGAAUCUACUUUUUCGUGGGGGAUAACGUAGGGAAACUUACGCUAAUACCGCAUACGACCUACGGGUGAAAGCAGGGGAUCUUUGGACCUUGCGCGAUUGAAUGAGCCGAUGUCGGAUUAGCUAGUUGGCGGGGUAAAGGCCCACCAAGGCGACGAUCCGUAGCUGGUCUGAGAGGAUGAUCAGCCACACUGGAACUGAGACACGGUCCAGACCCCUACGGGAGGCAGCAGUGGGGAAUAUUGGACAAUGGGCGCAAGCCUGAUCCAGCCAUACCGCGUGGGUGAAGAAGGCCUUCGGGUUGUAAAGCCCUUUUGUUGGGAAAGAAAAGCAGCAGGUUAAUACCCCGCUGUUCUGACGGUACCCAAAGAAUAAGCACCGGCUAACUUCGUG